UACGUAGGGUGCAAGCGUUAAUCGGAAUACUGGGCGUAAAGCGUGCGCAGGCGGUUGCGCAAGACAGAUGUGAAAUCCCCGGGCUUAACCUGGGAAUGGCAUUUGUGACUGCACGGCUAGAGUGUGUCAGAGGGGGGUAGAAUUCCACGUGUAGCAGUGAAAUGCGUAGAUAUGUGGAGGAAUACCGAUGGCGAAGGCAGCCCCCUGGGAUAACACUGACGCUCAUGCACGAAAGCGUGGGGAGCAAACAGG
rnacentral:rRNA from 1 species